rnacentral:rRNA from 1 species
GACGAACCGUGCGAACGUUGUUCGGAAUCACUGGGCUUAAAGGGCGCGUAGGCGGGCGACCAAGUCCGGGGUGAAAUCCCACGGCUCAACCGUGGAAGUGCCCCUGAUACUGGCCGUCUUGAGGGAGAUAGGGGCGUGCGGAACUUCCGGUGGAGCGGUGAAAUGCGUAGAUAUCGGAAGGAACACCGGUGGCGAAAGCGGCGCGCUGGAUCUCUACUGACGCUGAGGCGCGAAAGCCAGGGGAGCAAACGGG